rnacentral:rRNA from 1 species
AUUGAACGCUGGCGGCAGGCCUAACACAUGCAAGUCGAACGGUAACAGGAAGCAGCUUGCUGCUUCGCUGACGAGUGGCGGACGGGUGAGUAAUGUCUGGGAAGCUGCCUGAUGGAGGGGGAUAACUACUGGAAACGGUAGCUAAUACCGCAUAAUGUCGCAAGACCAAAGAGGGGGACCUUCGGGCCUCUUGCCAUCGGAUGUGCCCAGAUGGGAUUAGCUUGUUGGUGGGGUAACGGCUCACCAAGGCGACGAUCCCUAGCUGGUCUGAGAGGAUGACCAGCCACACUGGAACUGAGACACGGUCCAGACUCCUACGGGAGGCAGCAGUGGGGAAUCUUGCCCCAUGGGCGCAAGCCUGAUGCCGCCAUGCCGCGUGUAUGAAGAAGGCCUUCGGGUUGUAAAGUACUUUCAGCGGGGAGGAAGGGAGUAAAGUUAAUACCUUUGCUCAUUGACGUUACCCGCAGAAGAAGCACCGGCUAACUCCGUG